rnacentral:misc_RNA from 1 species
GAUGAAGAACGUAGCGAAAUGCGAUAAGUAAUGUGAAUUGCAGAAUUCAGUGAAUCAUCGAAUCUUUGAACGCACAUUGCGCCCGCCAGAAUACUGGCGGGCAUGCCUGUUCGAGCGUCAUUUCAACCAUCAAGCCCCCGGCUUGUGUUGGGGACCUGCGGCUGCCGCAGGCCCUGAAAAGCAGUGGCGGGCUCGCUGUCACACCGAGCGUAGUAGCAUACAUCUCGCUCUGGGCGUGCUGCGGGUUCCGGCCGUUAAACCACCUUCAUAACCCAAGGUUGACCUCGGAUCAGGUAGGAAGACCCGCUGAACUUAAGCAUAUCAAUAAGCGGAGGA